GACGAACGCUGGCGGCGUGCUUAACACAUGCAAGUCGAGCGGAAAGGCCCUUCGGGGUACUCGAGCGGCGAACGGGUGAGUAACACGUGAGUAAUCUGCCCUUGGCUUUGGGAUAACUACCGGAAACGGUGGCUAAUACCGGAUACGACAACCGUCUGCAUGGGCUGGUUGUGGAAAGUUUUUUCGGCCAGGGAUGUGCUCGCGGCCUAUCAGCGUGUUGGUGGGGUAAUGGCCUACCAAGGCGUCGACGGGUAGCCGGCCUGAGAGGGUGACCAGCCACACGGGAACGGAGACAAGGGCCAGACGACGACGGGAGGCAGCCGUGGGGAAUAUGGGAGAAGGGGCGAAAGCCUGAUCCAGACAUAACGCGUGGGUGAAGAAGGGCGGCGGGUUGGAAAGAGCUUUGGUGGGGAAAGAAAAGCAGAAGGUGAAUACCCCGCUGGGCUGACGGUACCCAAAGAAUAAGCACCGGCUAACUUCGUG
rnacentral:rRNA from 1 species